rnacentral:rRNA from 1 species
GGAUGGUUCACGAGUGAGAAUGCAGGCAUGAGUAGCGAUUCACACGUGGGAAACGUGUGCGCCGAUUGACUAAGGGUUCCUGGGUCAAGCUGAUCUGCCCAGGGUAAGUCGGGACCUAAGGCGAGGCCGACAGGCGUAGUCGAUGGAUAACCGGUUGAUAUUCCGGUACCCGCUGUGAAGCGUCAAACAUCGAGCCCGUUAAUGCUAAGGCCGUGAAGCCGCCCUGAUCUCUUCGGAGUUGAGGGGAGUGGUGGAGCCGUCGACCCAAGACGGUAGUAGGUGAGUGAUGGGGUGACGCAGGAAGGUAGUCCAGCCCGGGCGGUGGUUGUCCCGGGGUAAGGGUGUAGGCCGUGCGGUAGGUAAAUCCGUCGCACAUGUGGCUGAGACCUGAUGCCGAGCCGAUUGUGGUGAAGUGGAUGAUCCUAUGCUGUCGAGAAAAGCCUCUAGCGAGUUUCAUGGCGGCCCGUACCCUAAACCGACUCAGGUGGUCAGGUAGAGAAUACCGAGGCGUUCGGGUGAACUAUGGUUAAGGAACUCGGCAAAAUGCCCCCGUAACUUCGGGAGAAGGGGGGCCA